GAUCCAGCCAUGCCGCGUGUGUGAAGAAGGCCUUUUGGUUGUAAAGCACUUUAAGCGAGGAGGAGGCUACCUAGAUUAAUACUCUGGGAUAGUGGACGUUACUCGCAGAAUAAGCACCGGCUAACUCUGUGCCAGCAGCCGCGGUAAU
rnacentral:rRNA from 1 species